AGUGAACGCUGGCGGUAGGCCUAACACAUGCAAGUCGAACGGCAGCACAGUAAGAGCUUGCUCUUACGGGUGGCGAGUGGCGGACGGGUGAGGAAUACAUCGGAAUCUACUUUUUCGUGGGGGAUAACGUAGGGAAACUUACGCUAAUACCGCAUACGACCUACGGGUGAAAGCAGGGGAUCUUCGGACCUUGCGCGAUUGAAUGAGCCGAUGUCGGAUUAGCUAGUUGGCGGGGUAAAGGCCCACCAAGGCGACGAUCCGUAGCUGGUCUGAGAGGAUGAUCAGCCACACUGGAACUGAGACACGGUCCAGACUCCUACGGGAGGCAGCAGUGGGGAAUAUUGGACAAUGGGCGCAAGCCUGAUCCAGCCAUACCGCGUGGGUGAAGAAGGCCUUCGGGUUGUAAAGCCCUUUUGUUGGGAAAGAAAAGCAGCAGGUUGAUACCCCGCUGUUCUGACGGUACCCAAAGAAUAAGCACCGGCUAGCUUCGUG
rnacentral:rRNA from 1 species